rnacentral:rRNA from 1 species
GAUCCUGGCUCAGGAUGAACGCUAGCGGCAGGCUUAACACAUGCAAGUCGAGGGGCAGCAUAAUGGAUAGCAAUAUCUAUGGUGGCGACCGGCGCACGGGUGCGUAACGCGUAUGCAACCUACCUUUAACAGGGGGGAUAACACUGAGAAAUUGGUACUAAUACCCCAUAAUAUCAUAGAAGGCAUCUUUUAUGGUUGAAAAUUACCGUAUGGUUAGUAGAUGGGCGAUGCGUUGUAUUAG